GGCCGCAGCCUCGCAGCGCUCUCUCCGCGCCCGCGUCGCUGACUGACCGCCCGGCCGGCCGGCCGAGGGAGCAGCCCCCGCCCGGACCCGCAGCCGCCUCCCGACCCCGGUGCGCCCGGGGCUCCGCGCCCCCGUAGCCCCUGCCCGGCCCGGCCCGGCCGCCCCGCCGCCCCCGCGGCCCCGGCCGGAGGAGACAGAUCAUCCAGUCACUCGAUGGGGAUUACCAGCGGACCACCUGUUUGUAUCACCUUCCCACCUCUCUGUAGCAAGAAAAAUCACUUCAGCACCUCUUCAGUAAUAAUGAUGAAACUGGUAUUAACUGAAUGGCAAUUAUGGAUUUUUAACUCUAAUUCACAGUAAACCAGCAAGCCAUAUGUUUAAAAUCCAACCAAAAAUCGUUCUGUGUUGCUGCAUGUCUCAUACCGUUGUGAGAAGUUGUGAGAUAGCCACUUGUGCAAAGAGGAAUGUAAGUGUUACCUGCCCGAGGAACACAGCAGAAGCAGAAAGAGAAGACGUCUUAAUUUAUCAUUACAGAUAUAUGAAAGCAUUAUUUAUAUAGAUAGAAUAUAUAGAUAAAUACAUAUAUUUUUGGUGGUAAUGAAAAUGGCUCCGCAGAAUGCCGACCCGGAAUCUAUGCAAGUUCAAGAGUUAUCCGUGCCCCUGCCGGACCCGCAGAAAGCCGGAGGCGCAGAGGCCGAGAACUGCGAGACCAUCAGCGAGGGGUCC
rnacentral:lncRNA from 1 species